UGGGGAAUAUUGCACAAUGGGCGCAAGCCUGAUGCAGCCAUGCCGCGUGUAUGAAGAAGGCCUUCGGGUUGUAAAGUACUUUCAGCGGGGAGGAAGGCGAUAAGGUUAAUAACCUUGUCGAUUGACGUUACCCGCAGAAGAAGCACCGGCUAACUCCGUGCCAGCAGCCGCGGUAAUACGGAGGGGGCAAGCGUUAAUCGGAAUUACUGGGCGUAAAGCGCACGCAGGCGGUCUGUCAAGUCGGAUGUGAAAUCCCCGGGCUCAACCUGGGAACUGCAUUCGAAACUGGCAGGCUAGAGUCGUGUAGAGGGGGGUAGAAUUCCAGGUGUAGCGGUGAAAUGCGUAGAGAUCUGGAGGAAUACCGGUGGCGAAGGCGGCCCCCUGGACAAAGACUGACGCUCAGGUGCGAAAGCGUGGGGAGCAAACA
rnacentral:rRNA from 1 species